AUGCAGCGCGUCAACGAGCCUCAUCCACUGUUCGGAGGCGCUCUGUCGGCCGUCCUUCCACAUAGCGCCGCGGACGUGAGCGAGAUGCGGGAGAUCCCGGACAACCAGGAGGCGUUCGUCCACACCCGAACCGACCAGAGUCUCAUCGUGGAGCUGGUUGAGUACCAAGACCACGUCGCGGACCAUGACGCGGCCCGGCACCACUUUGAGGACAUCGCGGGUAACAACGCAGCCUCGCAGCCCGACGCGCAGCAGGUGACGGACGUGGUCGCCUUGCCCAAAUCGUCACUCUCCCUGUCGGCGUGCAGCUCCGCUUGGGUGCUGACGGGAAUCCAAAGCGUGUCAAAGUAUAAUGAGACUGCGAGGAACCGGGUGAAGCUUCAUCUUGGCGUGUUCCGGCUGCCGCAGUUCGGCACCGACGUGCUGGUGACGUUCAACGACCCGCAGAUCAUCUGCCCCGAUAGUAGUAGCAUUCCCGCGGCUGUGGGACCCGGCGUAGAGCCGUGGACUGUGGAGAACUUCCAGGAACUACUACAAUCCCUGACGCUGCAUAACCCAGGACUGUUUGGCUAAAAAGUUUGGGUCUAGAAACUUAUGGACCGCGAGAGCAUUUCAAGCAAGUCAAGGAGCGUCUCGAGACUUUCAUGUGAGUCAGGUGCACUUGGCCGCCCCUCUGGAAGCCUCAUCAAAACCUCAUCCUCUUGCGCAAUCGUGACCGACUGAGACUUGAUGAAGUCACACAGCCUUUUUUCCUGUUUUUCAUCUUAGGCUCAAAAAAGCAUAACUCGCUCUGGACUCACAUUGUGCAUGUUAUUAGCACAAGAUUUAAAAUUUGAAAAAUAAUGCAUAAUAUCUACCUUCGAAUGUUAAUUUAAACAUCACAAAUAUUUAUUUACUGAACCUGGAACAUUAUUUCUUGCAGGAUAAAAUUGAUUAGCAUCA